UUGGGAGGACGAAGUUAGGGAAUUCCAGCUUUUGGAAAACUAAACUCCUCCUUGGUCUGAGUGGAAUAUAAGAACAAGCUGCAGACCACAAACCAACACAAAACACAAGGGAGUUCAAACUGCCUGACUGACUAACUAACUAAGGAGCUGAAAGUCUGUCACAUCUGCAAGUAUGAAGCUGCUUCUAGCUGGACUUGUUCUGACCCUCAUUGUAGGAGCUCAAGCUCAGUGGUACCGCUUCCCUGGUGAAGCUGCUCGAGGUGCUAGAGACAUGUGGCGUGCAUACGACGACAUGAAGGACGCCAACUGGAAUUAACAACAAAUAUAUUGCACUUAAUUACUGCUUUUGGUAAAAAUGUCAUAUUCUCAAUAAUUAUUUUGCCCAAAUGUUCUGCUAAUAGACAGGUACAUGGUACUGAAAAUUUGUAUGCAAUCUAUUUCAAAAGUGUUGCAAAAAUAAAGUGAUUACGCAGCUAAA